UGGGCAUUCGCCAAGCUGGUAAGGCACUGGACUCUGAAUCCACAAUGCGCUGGUUCGAACCCAGCAUGCCCAAUCU
rnacentral:tRNA from 1 species